CACUUGGUCCUUCCAAACCAAGACAGGUCAAAUCCGAUAAUAUUAGUAAAAAAAUUAUGGUGAGGGUGGUGAAACACUGAAUUGUAAGUAGCACUGUAUUGUAAGUAGCAAGAUUGGAAAAUUGGAAAUGGGUUGCCCAGAGAGGUGCCCCAUCCCUGGAAUCUUCAAGAUCAGGUUGGAUAAGGUGCUGAUCUAGUCAAAAAUGUCCCUGCAUAUUGCAUGUGAGUUGGACUAGAUGGCCUUUAAAAGUCCCUUCCAACCCAAACUGUUCUGUGAUUCUUUGAUUCUGUGAAAAAAAGAUUUCUUCAAUGUUGAAGCAUGUUGUCAGAAGGGUUGAGGCAGUCCUUACUGACCCUGGAAGCUGAUACUACCAGUGUCACAUAGUUCUUAUAAAAGGAACUAAAGGGCAAAAAAGGAAGAAACACAUGUCUAAAAGAAAGAAACGUGUGUCAACUUUGUUGUCUUUUGCUGAAAUUUUAUCAAGCUCCCUGGCACAUUUUUCCAAAAUAAAUUAGAUUAAAAAAAUUUUUAGUGAUAGUCAUUUCAACCAGAGUCACCUUUAGUUUGGUGAAAUUUUCUCCUCCCCCUUAAAAGAAGACUGUUAUCAGACAGUUGAAUGUCAAGGCUAGAUUAGAUGGGUUUGGUUUUUAAGUUGGACUUUUUCAUGGCCAAAUUUGGAAUGAAACUACUGGAAGAUACUUUGAUCUAAAGCUUUUUGCCACACAUUCUGUUUUCUGAAAAUAAUACCCAUUUAUGGUCCUGGGGUGUUUAGGAAUUAUGUGGAAGUAUUUUUGAGUGUCUUUCAGUGGAAUUUCAGAAUGCCUUUAAUGCACUUAACAAGCAGAUUACACCAAGGAAAAUGAAAAUACAAACUUAUAUGGUUCUAUUGUCAUAGCAGAAUGUCAGAAAGAUCCAAGGUGAAGAAAUCAGUUUUAUAUUGAAGAGGGUGCAAUUUCAUGGCAACUACUUCAUCACGAGUGACUUCUGUGGUUCAAAUGUUCUUUGUGUGAAAACUUUUCUCUUUUUACUUACCUGCCACCCAUCAUGCACCAAAGUCUGGUUCUGACUGUCCCAAAGUGAGCUGUUUUCCUGCAAAGGAGGCAGUUGUUCUCUGGUGUUUGCUUUCUAGCUCCUAGAGGCUUUAAAGCAGCCGGAGAGAGAGGCUGAGUGCUUCACUUGAAAUUCUCAAGCUGGGAGCAAGGCCCAUCUCUCUGGGCAGCUGGGGCUUGUUCUUUGGCCACAGUCCAAUUACUCAAAGGAUUUUUAAUCACCUUUGGUUCAGUAUAGCAGGUGAAUGUUAAAUAAAACUCUCCUGUAUGAUCAUUCAGAUGCUUCUCUGGGAGUCACACUCAUUCUGCUUGAGACUUUUAACUGCUGGGACUGAAGCCAUGUUGGAAUCUGGAAUGAAAUAACUAAUGUUCCAAUAAUUUGGGAAUCUUCUUCUGCAAGAAGUACACAUGUGCUUUUUAUGUAUUCUGGACAUCAUGGAUUAAAAAGUUUAGGAUCAGUUUGGAUUCUUCUAAAUCCAUCUCUCCAGUCCAGGUGUCCUGUAGCUGGCUGAUGCUUAGAACUAUCUUGCCAAAAGAAUGGUCCCUUAGAAAUCAAAUGUGUUGAUGAUUUUUUCCCUUCCCUUAUCUUUACCUAAAUCUUUUGCUUAUAUCAAGCUGAAGUUUUGUUUGAGUAAAUUUGGUAGGAACUGGAUCAUAACCGAGUUUAGAAGCUGGAACACAAAGGCUGUUAAAAAACCAAAAUUUCGAAGCUGGUGUCUAUUAGGUAAGCAGAUACAGAUGCCAAAUGCUAAAGAGUUUACCAAAUUCCCAUUAAAAUUAUUGCUAAUACUUUGGGAAAGCAGUGAAUUUUCAGGAAACAAACUUAGGGCAUUGCUAUUGAGAGUAUCCACUGUGUGGAUACACAGGAACCAAGUUUCCAAGUUGUGCAUGACUGUGAUGGUGUUCUUGUCCUCAAAUGCAAAUUGGAGCACAAGGUUAAUUCAGACCAAGCUGAAGCAAGAACACAAGGAGUCAGGACAAACUGAAGUAGCUCCUGGGAAUGUUAUGCAGCAUCUUAUUACAUGUUAUAGCAAGAGGAGGGAAUCCAGACUGCUGUCAGACAUUAAGUAGGAAUAUGGUUCUAACACUGGUGCAGCCUUAUUGUUGCUGACCUGAGAGGUGACAUGCUGCAUUCUUAGUCUAUACCUGGUCUGUAUGGAUGCCUAGGAAAUCAGAGCAUCAAUGCUGCAAGGAAAAGCAAUGAUUAAGAAGGUCAAGCUGGGUAAGACCCCUGGGGAUACAUUUGCAGCAUGAACUACAAGAAUGUGAUCAGGCAUUUCAAGUUACUAAUGAGAAUGUGCUUGUGAUACCUUUAAACAGUGCUGAUUUUGAAUAUUUUUUUUUACCCAGGGUGAAAUGAUGUGAAGAAGAGUGGGGUCUGAGCACUUCAUUAAUGCCAGAAAAAAAAAUGAGGGCAUUGAAAAUUAUAUUCCUGGUAAAAUGCAUCCUAGCUUCUAGGCAUGCAGUAAAGUAGUCACGUCAGGCAACACAGAAUUUAACUACCCAUAGUGUGGGCUUCUUACUGUUCAUCUAGGGGCAUCAGACCAGUGAAUCUACUAGAUCUUCUUUGUCCUGAAAGGAAAGAACAAGAAAACUGAUAAAAGUUAUGGACUGGCUUUUGCACAGGGAGUGACUGACUCGGUAGGUUGACUGCUGGCUCAUGACUAGCAGGAGAGGAGAACACGGCCCAUCACAAAGUCUGUAAAAUCAACUGGACCCUGAUGCAUGUGGAAUGAUUUUUACACAGUACAGCAAUUUCAACUGGAACUGACCCUGUGCCCCUGGGAAAGGUGCUGACAGGUUUUUCUGGGGAAAUGGCAGGGAUCAGCACAUCUGGAGCACAAAGGAUGGGCUUCACCCUAGAAAACCCACCUUCCAUGACUGUAACAUCUUCCCUACCAGGAAAAGAAAAGGCUCCUAGGCUGGAGAAGCUAUUGGACUCAUGGCUGUGUUGCAGCAGCACUGUUCAUAUUUGCUUCUGAAAGGUGGGCACUUGUUUUGUUACUGUGUCCUCUCUUAUAAAACAGAAGUCCUUCUCUUGCCUCUGUGCAGUUCAUUAUUUGUAGAAUUCUUUCAGGAGUCCACAUGAAAGGGUAUUUUAGAUGCAUUAAUUAUUAGUUUUAAGCACAGCUGCUUUGUCUGAGGUCUUUCUUUCAGCUGAAAAUGGGUUUGACUGCAAGGAAACAUAUUUUUCCAAGAAGAUUAUAUUGGUCUUAAGUCCAAGAAACAGAGAAAGCAAAUAAAGCUAUUUUGUUUAAAAAGGAAUUAUUUUUCAGGGGGGGAAAUUAUUUCCCCCCAUAUUUUAAUUAGAAGUAUUAUUGUUUAUGAAAAACUGUUGUUUAAUUCAUCAUGGGGAAAUGGUCAAACAUUAAAAUCAAUAGUUUUUGGAAAAAAAGUAAUUUCCUCAGCUACUUUCAAUCAUUUGCUUAGGUAUUGACAGAAAUUUCCUUGGAAGCUGUCAUCUCACUCAGAAAGCAGACUCUGAAUUUAAUGAAAAGUUUCAGCAAAUAUCUGCUGUGUGUAAAAAGCUCCCACUUUUUUUUCUCCCCAAGACAAAAUUUUUCUAUAAGACCCAUAUAGUAUGGAAAUUUUCUGUGAUGAUACAGAAUUUUGAAAUCUUGGAUGGUGGAGGGAAAUUCUUAUCUAUGAGGUUGUGGUCACAUGCUAAUAUUACUGAUGACUUGCUUGCUGUUUAGGUUGCAGAUAAGAGUUUUACUUCUAUACUCUGGUUAUAAAAGAGAUUUUGUUAUUUUCUCAUGUCAGCCACAUUAAAAUAAACAUUGUUUCCUGUUGAAGAGCCUCAAGAACCUUCAGUCGGUAAAAAAAAAAGUGGUUUAGUUUUGCUUACAGCAGUCACGUCCUUUUCCCCUUCCAAUGUUAAGCUGAUGCUAAAAGUACCUGUUUAAGCCUAUCACAUAAGUACUAAUAAUAGGUAUUGAUUAAAAAAAAAACAGUUAGUGUCACACUACGACACGAAAUAACUCACACAUUUACACUAGAUGCAAAAGAGAGAAAAGAGGAAGUUUAUUCCUGACCUCACAAUAUAUGAAUUCUAAAAGUGACAGUGGAUUGGAGGAUCAAAUUGCUACUCUCCAACCACACUAGUCAAACUAACAGUCUAUCAAUUCUCUCCUCCUCCAAAGAAGAAUGCAAAACAAUCAUUAUUUACAUGAACAGUGUGAAAACUCCAGUAGAAAUAUGUAAACAUUAGAAGGCAUAGAAAACUUAUAAAAGAACCUUAACAUUUUCCAAAAAAAAAAGUGACAAGGUAGGAACUUACGUUACUGAGCUCAUAAUUUUGUAAGAACGGAGCAUCUCAAGCAAGUGGGGAAAGCCACUUUGUUUAUCUGGCUUGUGCUUGGCGUUAUGGAAAACACAAACAUGCUUCAAAAAAAAGCAAUGCAGGAAUUGUUGAAACAGGCACAGGUACAAUGCUAAGCUUCUGCUCCAGCAACCAGGAAGAACACCAGCAGAGAAAUUUUCUUACUCUUUUGUGCUUGGUGCCCUACUUGAGGGUGUUACCUGAUGGUUCUCAGUGCUGUGACUUGUGAGAUAGGAAAAGCUGUAAAACUUGCUGAAGGUCUGCCUUGGAUACAUGGCUGGGAGCUGUGUUUAGCACUAGCUGAACACAAGGUUGGCCUGGAUAUGGACAGUGAAAAGCCAUGGGUCACUCUGCACUGCUCUCUUGGAUCUAAUUUAGAGCACCCCACCUUUUGUUAUAUUUGUCUUGUAAUGUUUACCAUAUCUCUGAAGGCUGGACUAUACAACUGGACCUGAUGAUCUUAAAGGUUUUUUUUCCAACCUAAAUGAUUCUGAAAGAGUGAAAACCUCUCAUUUAUUUGCUUGUGGUUACUUUGCCUUGCAUUAUUGUGGCUGACAGGUGGAUGUGCAGAUGUUGUAAAACAGCAAAUAAAUUCAGGACAGUUUAGCAAAAUGAAGGGGGGUCAGGCACUCCAAGAUCACCUGUGAAAUGGCCGGAAUGCUGCUGUUGUCUAGAGAGCUUGAUGUGAACACUUCUGCCAUCUGCCAGAACUCUUUGCCAAAUUAAUUACAGAUCAACUGCAAGGAAGUCUGAAUGACCAUUACCAACCAUGCUGGCAUUCCCCUAGCAAAAAUAUUGUCCCCAUGCACUCCAAAAACAUUUAAGGUGCAUUUUAAGUAGCAAGAUUGGAAAAUGCAGAUCCUGUUUCCGGCUCUCUGUGUUUAGUCAGUGGCAGUGCAUUGAAGGCUCUAGAUCAAUUUAUGCCCAUUUAAAUCAUUGGCCUUAGCACUUAACAGAGGAUGCUUGGAAAGAUUCUGAACACAUUUAGUGUUUCAUUCCCCUUGGGUGUGUAAAUUUCCAAAGCUGCUGUAUAAUCUUGGCCUGGAGAUCCAGCACAGAGCAUAUUGUCUGUGGGACUGCUUGUCCUUGGCUCACCAUCAGGUGGGAAGAGGUGCUGGUUCUGGCUUUGCAUGUGCCUCUGCUUUUAGAAACAGUUUGGGCAAGUGGAGGAACAGUUCUGCAGAGCCAUAACAGUCUCUUUUGUACAUGAUGUUUGGGCACAUUUUAAAGCCUUUAUUUUCUCAGCCAUGAAAUCUUCUUUGAGUGGUUGCAUUCUAUCUUGUAAGUACUCUAGUCAGGGCUUUUCCAGCAUGUGUUUACAAGCCUCUGUGGGCGUGCUUGCCAUAGUAAUUCCUGGCUACAUUUUAUUGGGAAUGUCGUGAUACUCAUAGGGUUUGGAGGGAGAAGCAGCAUUCCAAGUGGGAAAUGACAUCCACAAUUUUCAGUGGCAUGGACCAAAGCUACAGCCCUAAGACUUCUUUAGAAAGUAUUCCUCUUUGUAAGGGAUGUGCAUUCUUUAUAUUUUCUCUGUUCGUAAUACUUCCUUCAAUAUAUACAAAUGUUCUCAUUUUACUCUUUCUCUCUGAUCACUGUCAUUAUCGAAAAUAGUAUUUAAAACCAAAAAAAAUAGAUUAAACUAACCUCCUCUGUUUUUUUAUGUGCACCUUCCUAGUUAAAUGUGUCUGAGCUGAUGAGCUGUCACUUGUUGAGUCACAGCAAACCCUUUGUCCACAUUAUGACUAGUAGAUAUUUAAUUGCCUCCGGAAUUAAAUUGUUAUUUCCACCUUCCCAUGGUUAUUUUCUCUUAUCUCCUUUGACAUUCACAUUACAAAGUAACAAUGUUGUAAUUAUUUUGAAAAGAAUGAAAUUACUUUGCCUGUGAGACACUCAAUCUUGGUAGCUCUAACAAUGUAGAACUGUGGGGUGGCAGGCAAGAGUGUCACCCUGCAAAAUAGGAAAGAAAGGCACAAAGGGAGUUACACAUAUUAUUUAAGAAGGGAGGGGGUCAUCUUGAUGUUGACUGGGACAGAUGUGAACCUGAAGAUCACUGUGUAGAGUAGGAUCAUAUAGGUUUUGUGUGUUGGGGUCAAGAUCCUGAUGGAAGAGACACGAGAGUGAGUAAAUGACCCAGUGUGGAAGGUGUUACCCCAGCACACCAGCACUUGUAGUCCAUAAUUAAGGCUGUGUGGACCAGAGAGUGGGAAGUGUUGUCCAUGGAGCCCCUGCAGUGGCCAACACUUGUCUCCCAAUGCUCACUUCCACAGUGGGGCAUUCGUGGCAUUCCUGAGGAGCUGAAGUUAUGAAUAAGGUGUAGGUUUUGCUGAGAGGUACGACAGGUCAUACACAUGAACUGUGUAAGGCCUGUGAGGGGAGAUGCUGAGCUUGGGGUGGUAGAGAACAGCACUGAUGUCUUCAGCUUUGAGGGGACAAUCUCCAUUCUUCUCUCUGUGGUUCUGGUAGUGCCAGUACCCUGAUGCCUCAAGGGGAAGAAGACUCUUGGUACCUGGUUGGAGCACAAUGUUUCUCUUUGUGAGUUCUGCAUCCCUGUGCCCUACACACACAGACUUGGAUGAUGACUUCUAACUUUCAUAGCUCAAAGUAUAGUAGAAAAAAAUUUAAUGUUUUGGACUGUUUCUAGAUUCUCACCUGUUUUGCCUUAUUUCUCUGUUUUCUGCCACCAUCUAGGGUUUUCCUAGGGUGUUCCCGAGGCUCUGAAAAUAAAGGUGUUGGUCCAGUCAUUUCCAACCUUGGCUUAUGGGCAGAAGUCCUGAUUAAGUAAUAUACUCUGAGCAGCAUCAAGGUAUCCCUGUCAGCCCUGGAAGCUGAGGGCUUGGUUUAGCUUUUUAACUUGUCUGUUCACAUAGCAGUGGCAAAAGGCAUUGCAAACAGGUGGUGGUGUCUGUCCACAGAGUGAGGGAACCCUCACUCUAAACCUUGAGAAGUACUCCAGGUUUAAGGUAGAAUGUGAGAAGCAUCCUGGGAGGUUUUCCCCCAGUAAUUUCUGUGUGCAGCAGGAGCACACCAGCCAAAAGGUGCUUUUUGACCUGCCUGAAAUGGCCAUGGGCUAUAUUAAUACACUGUAGAGUUUUUUUAUUUCUUCUGGUGAAAGUGAACAGUAAUUUUUAAUUCGUUUUCCAAAACAAAUAAACAGUAUUUGCUUUGGAGGAUCUGUGCUAGUCCAACUGGCUGAUGACCCAGUCCAAAAGCUGACAGAUUAUUCUUUUCUUUUCCAAUGGUAGGAAAAUAUGAUGACCAAACAUGAUGCAGGUCCUUUUUUUGAGGAACAAAAGCCUUGUAUUUCACCUUCUGCAUGUUUUUAAGUUGUUACAUAAGUACAAAAUAGUUAAGCUGAAAACCAUAAACAGUAAUAAUAGAUCUAGCAGUUGAUCUGCAUGUUUAUUUAACGCUCCUUUCAAAGAAGAGAUUUGCAUUAGAAUUGAGACUCAUAUAUUUUAAAUUACCUGUAAAUCACAUAUAAUUUAAGUUUCCUGCCAAUUACAAUUUAUUUUUCACGUAGCAGCUUUGCUAAUUGAAAUUCAGUCAACCUGUCUCCAGCCAUAUAUGCAGUGCAAAGUUCUUUUUCUUUCACUGAAAUUGGGUGGAGAACAGAAACCUGCACUAUCAGAACUGUUUGCAGCAUAGCAAGAGAUCAGAGACGUUUUGCAGGGCAAGCAUCGAGACUUUGGAACAAUCCCCCCCAGCACAUUUUCAACACAAGUCUCCUCCUGACAGUGAGUGUCUGGGUCUGAAAAUGGCCUGUCUCCAGUAACCACUGUGCAUCCCUGAAACUGGCAACAUUAUACAAUAAACAGUCGCCUUCUCUCUGCCUUCCCAGAUGUAUAUAAAAUUUGCCAUGGCUGAAGUCUGUCUUUUGGGAAGUUCCAGAGGUAAUUGUCUGGAGUUGACUUACAGGGCUCCUGUCAAAAGGAGUUAGUAUUUCAGCAACUCCUUGGUCAACUCCAUGGCAGUACCAAAAUAGCUGACUGCCUUAGACAUCAGCUGGCCUUGCUUAGGUGGAGCAACUCAAAUGUUUUUAAAAGCAAAAUAGUUAUCAUGCUUCCAUUGUGUCCUGCAGCAAAAUUCUUCUGGCCAAAAAGGUUUCAAGGGAAUGAGUGUCUUUAUUUUUCUCUCCCUCUAUCUCUAUUUAUAGCUUAUGAACAUUGGGAAAUGUAUGACAGGGAGCUGGAGGAGGAAUGGAUUUUAGGACUUGAAGGUCAAAUAUUUUAUUCAAGGGAAGCCUGAGUUGUUCAUGAUGGAAAGGACAGCCUGAUGGCAAAGCUAUGUGCUGUGUUUAAGGCACACAGCUGCAAAGAGAAACUGAUUAAAUUCAGGAUCAGAUCUUCAGUGGACACAAUGGAUUCCUUCUCACACACAUACAGUGCUCAUCUGGAGUCCAGAGCCUCUCUUGAAGCUCUUUUUGAUAUGAAAUUCAGCAGCUUUUAUGACCAGAUCAAGUGCUCUUUUUUCUCAUUGUUCAUAACCGUAUUUGCGGUAUGAGAAAAUAAUACUCAGCACUAGUAAGAAAUAUUCAACUAAGUACAAAUAAAACUGUGUUCCAUCAUGAAUUUCUUUCCCUACAGCACACUUUCCCAUGGUCAUUUUAUCCACUGAUGACUGCAUCCCAGCUGGAGCAGGUUGGCAAAAUUAAUCCAAAGUCCUUGAAUUCAAGAUGAUUCAAAUGGAUGAGGGAUCUUUUUCUGAGGUUAUCAGUUUAAAGAUGUCUGGCACUUGGCCUUCAAACUGUGAGCUGUCUAAUCCCUAUCUUGGUAAAGUCAGCAGCAAUGUCUUCACUGACUUUAGCAGAAGUGAACCUUAGAUCAUUACUGCUCAGAUAUGAUCCUUUGAACCAUUUCACUCUCAACAGCAUACAGCUGUGUGUCAGAUGUGAUUAUUUCAUUGCUUAUUCAGGUUUUCUCUCAUUUCCUUCUGCUUUUCUAUCUCAAAUGGUAUUUCACCUUCACUGUUUCUUAUUUUACCAGACUUAAUUGGAAAUGCAUUGGUCUUACAAUUUUUAACACUACCCAUUCCUCCUGCCCCUUGUAAUUUUCAACUCCAUAGUCCAGGCUGGGAUGUUAAAACAUCUUUCCUAAAAGUAGGGUAGCACUUAAUCUUGGAGUUUUUUGGAGGCAAUGUCCAGCCACAAAAUCUCAGUCUAGGUACAAGGCUACUCAGAAAUUGUCUUGCUAUUGAUUCUUUUUAGACUUUUAAAAAUAAAAAAAGGUAAAAAGGAGAAAAAUAUUUAAGCUUGCAUUAUGUUGUACAAAUUUUCCAGAACUAUUGUUUUUCUUCUCACUUUGGGAGAAAAAAAAAAAAAAGGUAAACCAACAAACUUGAAAUAUGUCUGUGUUAUAAGGCUCACUUCUAAUUCAGCUGACAGGUCUGGGUGAUCCCAAAGAAAACAGAGAAGGGUGGAAGGGUGAAAGUAACCUUCUACUGCUUUGAAUUGCAUGUGUUCAUGAACACACUCACUUUAGGUAGUGGUGAUCCCCUCUUGUUAACUUAAAUUAAGGGAAGCUUUGGUUCUGUUCUCUUUGAGAUGGUUUUUCAUGUUGUAUGCUGCAAGAGCUCAGUGUGUAGGAGCAAUGUAUAAUAUACAUGUAUGAAAUGAGUAUUUGGCUCAAAAGCCAAAGCCUCUGAAUUAUUUAAAAUGGAGAACCAAAUGAUGGUUUCAGCUGCACUCAGCUGGGUAGGUGGUGCCAGUAACUGACAAAUUUGACCUAGUGCCUGUUUAUUGUGAUACCUGGUAUUUUUGGCAAAUUACAUAAACAAAUAUCCUGGUAUUUUUCUUGGCAAACAGCAUGAAUACCACUCUUGCUUUAUUCUCUUUGUCCCAGCAAAUGCUUUAUGGCAAGUAUUCAUCACCAAAUAAAGGGUGAGAUCAUCUGCAGUGCAAAGCCCAUUAGGUCAUGUAUUUUGGCAUUCUGCUGCUGGGCUGCAAGGUCUGCCACAAACUUGGCCGAACUGUGCACGAUGCUGACAGCGUUUCCCAGGCAAUAAGAAUCAGAUAUCCUUUUUCCUUUGUGCACAGAAGUGUGUACUUGAUGUGGUGAGUAGUGGUGGUGUGCUACAGGGUUAGACUUGUUUGCCUAACCAAGACUUGUAGGUAAAAACGUGAAACUGAGAUGUUUAAAAUAUGCCCUUGUUAGGGAUUUUUUAAGCAUUUACACCCACUUUUGCAUUCAUGUGCUUUUUCCCACCCUGUCUUUGCCCACCAUCUCUCUACCCUUUGUAGCACAUCUUUGACACCUUCCUCUCCCACUGUGUCCCCUGCCCCACUGGUGGCUUCAGUCAGCUUUAAAUACCAUCCACUGCUACUGCCAUGAGGAAUGAGCUCCUCUUGGGAGAUUUCCCUGGGAAAUCUGAGACUUUGGCUUCUCUGUCAGUAUUUGCUUUGCUGCUGAUGGCUCUGACACGUGUCCUUCAGUCACCAGAGCAGAAGCCAAGGGGGCUUGUGCAGGCUGAAGCUCCUUUUCCAGCAGUGCCCUGUGGAUAUGAAUAUCUACCUGCCUCCAAGUCAAUUUGAAACUCCUGCUAACUGGCUGACAAAUGGAAGGUAGUCACUUCAAUAUAUCCACAAAUAAGAUUUUUAGGAAUUACAAUGCACUGGAAUUGCAGGUGGGCUGCAUGCACAAUGCUGCUCACUCAUGACCUUCGAAGCAUCAAGCUUAAUGAACGCCUGGUGCCCCUGAUGGCUGCAGUAGUCCACACAUGUACUCUGUUGUUUUUCAGUGUUUCUCAGAACUGCAUGGAUGUCAAAUUUACUGGAACUAGUGGAAGGACUCCAUCUAGCAGCAUGUGCCCUAAUCAGUGGUGAAGAAGAGUUUACAGGCAACCUGAUGGCCAGAUCAAUCCUGCAUGGCUGAUGGCUGUACCUCCACCAGAAAUCUUGGAGGAUGUGGAAGAUGGAGGACAAUAUUGGAAUGUCUUGCCUGUGCUGCUGCUGUCCUUAGGGAAUCAUCUUGAACUGAGCAUCAAAGGGACCCAUCUGUUCUGCCAUGCCCAGAGAGGAAUCAGGUACAGGUGGUUUAUCAGCUCCUCACUGCAAGUGUUGCAGAGCUGUUUACAUAAAUCUUUGUAAAUCUGCACCGAGGUAUUUCAUGGCAUGGUACAGAACUUUGAAAAGAAACAAUGGAAUAAGCAUCUCAAAAAGAUGCAUACUAUCAGACAUUACUUCCCCAUUAUCUCUUGAUAUGCUCUAACAGGGCAGUUGAUUGUUGAUGGAUGCAAGUGUUGUCCUGAUUUAAGUGAGUCUCUGCAGCACUCAUGCUUCUCUGUCAAUUCUCUAUUUCUUCAAUGGUUCUGGAUUAAAUCUAAAAAACUG